UGUUCCGCCAGGAGCAUCGCUGGGUAGCUAUGUGUGGCAGGGAUAAACGCUGAAAGCAUCUAAGCGUGAAGCCCCCCUCAAGAUGAGAUUUCCCAUUUCUUCGGAAAGUAAGAUCCCUGAAAGAUGAGCAGGUAGAUAGGUUUGGAGUGGAAGUGUAGCGAUACAUGGAGCGGACAAAUACUAAUCGAUCGAGGACUUAACCAAAA
rnacentral:rRNA from 1 species